rnacentral:misc_RNA from 1 species
CCGAGUUACAACUCCCAAACCCCUGUGAACAUACCACUUGUUGCCUCGGCGGAUCAGCCCGCUCCCGGUAAAACGGGACGGCCCGCCAGAGGACCCCCUAAACUCUGUUUCUAUAUGUAACUUCUGAGUAAAACCAUAAAUAAAUCA